UCUUCCUCCCUCCAGGUCUGGUUAGUUUAGUACCAGCCUUAACCUGGUCUCUUCCUCCCUCCAGGUCUGGUUAGUUUAGUUAACCUUAAGCCUCCAGGUCUGGUUAGUUUAGUUAACCUUAAGCCUCCAGGUCUGGUUAGUUUAGUUAACCUUAAGCCUCCAGGUCUUGUUAGUUUAGUACCAGCCUUAACCUGGUCUCUUCCUCCCUCCAGGUCUGGUUAGUUUAGUUAACCUUAACCUGGUCUCUUCCUCCCUCCAGGUCUGGUUAGUUUAGUACCAGCCUUAAC